GGUGACGUGGCCGAGUGGCUGAAGGCGGCGGUUUGCUAAACCGUUGUACGGUAUAAAGCCGUACCGAGGGUUCGAAUCCCUCCGUCACCGCCA
rnacentral:tRNA from 2 species